CUCGAGAUUAACGCAGAGAGAGGAUAUAUUAUACAUGUGGAGGAUAAGUGUACAUAAGUGAUCAAUGUAAGGAUAUACAGUCGUGUGAAAAAAUAAGUACACCCCAUGGAAAGUGUUGACUUUUUGACAUAUUUGGACAAGCAAACAUUUGAUCAUCUUUGGAACGGUGCCUGUUAAUAAAGUCAAACAAAACCACAAUGAAAAUUGACUUUCUCAAUCAUUUACUCAAUAGAAAUAUCUAUAGAUGAAUUCAUAUUCAUUUGGGUUCACACUAGGCAUUAUGGGUAAUGGAAGAGUGGACAAACUAGCCAAACAUACUGGGGAAAAAAGGAGAGAAGAAAACAGACAUGAGUCUCUCAAAGCCAGAAGGAAAUUGUUAGUGGAAGCAGCAGUGGGACCGGGAGAUAAAAGGAAGACAUUUAUACUCCAUAAUGAUACACAGCACCCUCCAUUAAUAUUGGCACCCUUGGUAAAUAUGAGCAUUAAAAAAAUUCACAGAAAUACUCUGCUCUCAUGGACAUCAAACAAUUGAAAUACAACUCAGGUUUAUAUAUAUUUAAAAAAACAAACAAAAAAAACCACCUUGUUAAAUAUAGGUGUGUAUGUGCAACAAUUAUUGGCACCCCUAUGAAUUCAUGGUGCCAAUAUUAAUGGAGGGCAUUGUAGAAUCGGUAUUGUGGAAAGUAAGGGAAGAAACAGAAAAGAGGAGACAAUCAUGACUAGAUUGAGAAUAAUACACAGAAUAGUUCACUUCACAUUAUAAGGAAGCAGCCAGCUGGUUUGUGAUCAUUGCCAGACGGCAGAAUCUGUAGAACAUGUGCUGCAGAAAAUAUAAAGUAGAAAGAAAGGACAUGACGGAAGAAAUGGAAAGAGUAGGAAUAGUACAGCCUCAUACCCACAACGAAGGUCCGCUGUUUUUCAAACAACAAGCCAUGGAUCAACAAUGACAUUAAAGCCCUCCUAAGCAGGAAAAAAGAGGGUACUCAUGGCAGGAGACAGUGAGGAGGUCAGGUCAGUCCAAAAUGAGCUGGGGGGUGUGGCUGAGGAAAGCAAAAAACAGCUACUGGGAGAGGCUAGCUGGAAAAAAACUGUGCAAGCUGGAAAAAAAAACUGUGCCAAAGAGGUAUGGGACAGCAUGAACAGGAUUACUGGACUUAAAAAUUCCAGACCAGCCAUGGAGGGCAGCCUGGAACAUGCAGAAGAGCUAAACCGGUUUUUCAACAGGUUUGACUCAGCCCCCCACCCCUGAGAGCUGAGAAACAUAUCAGAGCCUAGAAUCUAUAAGGUUUAUAUUCUGUGAUACUACAUUAUUUUAUUUCACCAUUGCUUCAACUUCUUCUGACAAUCCUAAAGACAAAAAAUCAGAACAUAACAACAGAAACAAUAUGUUCCUUCGGUUGACUGUUAGGGUCCAAUACAUGUGCAACCUGGAAAAAAAAAUACAAAUAAGCAUAAACUAUCAUCAUGUUUUAAGAUUUUUAGCAUGGCCAGAAUCAAAUGACUACCAUUCUCUGAAGAUGUUCUGGUAAUGGUUGGCACACACUGCUUUAUUUGGAAGCAUGUCCUCCACUGCCAAGAAGGGCUUGUGGCUUGUAGUCACAGCGUGACAUGUGUGCUCUUCAAAAGAUAAAAAGGGGAAAAAACCAACAACAUGAAUUAUCACAUCAUCUCAAUCAAAGAUGACUAAACUUCCAACCACUACAGGGUCUUCACACCUAAAAUUUGGCUGCAUACUAAACCUACACCAACUAGAACAUGAUUAGCCGGUUAAGGUACUUGGCACUUAAAUUUAAGCGCGGACACAAAAAUAAACCUUCAAAACCCCACCCAAAUCGUGUAGGGCGACACGCGUCAUCCACACCCUACACUCAGUCAGUCGCUCUUUUGCUUUACGGCGGAGUACAACACAGAAAACGGCUCUCCUUUGUCGGAAGACUUUAAACAAGAACGAAGGAGGGUGUGUUAACUCUUUGAGGUCGAGAGCAUCGCCGAUGAUAUUCAGCAUGGUCAGGUAUUGCUUAAUUUUGGAAGAUGGCACACCGUAGGCUCCUGGACAAUGACUUUCUUCUUUUGCUUUUGCUUCUUCGGAAAUUAUGCUUGGAUUACUCCGAAAAGCCAACACUCUGUCUGCCUAUGUGAGCUAUGUCUUCAGGCUGAGGAAAUUUAAUAUUGCAGGUCACCUAAAGGGCAGUUUAGAGUACACUGCGAAAGGCUCUCAGGUCAAAUUAACCACCAAUUUGGGUCUGAACUUCACCAAGAGUGGAAACACAAAUAUUUGGCCUGUGAAUGAACAACAAACACAGGUUAAUUUCCUGUUGAAGAACAGCAUCCAGUUUAAUAGACCUGGGCUUCUGAUACAGAAACUUAGGCUUGGAGAACUACGAAAAGGAACCAAUCUCAUGGCUUCUGUGAGGUAUCAGAAAUAUGAUGUGCCCGUUGAGAUAACGUACAGCUACACCACCAAAGAAGCAUGGUUCUACAAAUUCGAUAGCAGAGCAGUUCUAAACUGCACCACCAGUAGCAACACCACUUUUUGUCCGGUGUAUACACAGGAUAGUUUCUCUAUGGAAGUCAGCAUCCUGUUUUCUAAGCUGGGCUACUAAGGUCUGUGCCAAUCAACAUACCUGUGUAAAUAUUGCAUUGUUCAUCUUUGGAACGGUGCCUGUUAAUAAAGUAAAACAAAACCACAAGGAA
ensembl:lncRNA